CGAGAUACCUUCGGGACAGCC
rnacentral:siRNA from 1 species